CACUAUCUAGGGCAAAACUCUUUUCCCCUCGAACACGCAGGAGCUCACGUGGAUGGCCAUCAGGCCUCCGCAGCUGUGCAAGUCUUCCCCAGGUCCCAAAUCCCAAUCACCGUCGACCUCAAGAAGAGAAUAAUUCCAGUCGCACACGCACGACCACCAGGCGGAGGCUCCUGUCUGGCUUGUCGAAGCUAGAAAGGAGCCCUAACUUACUAACUUAGACGGCCAGAGAAGUUAAUGGGCUAGAAGUUAUACUGCCUCCGUCUCAAAAUAUAAUAACUUUUUAACUUUUCUAAAUCAAAUAUUUUCAUCUUUGACCAAUAAUAUCUCAAAAAAUAAUUACUUGUAAAUAAAAGAUUACAUUUUACUAUAUUUGGUUUCAUUACGAAUAAAUUAAUAUCACUUUUAUGUUGUCAAUCUUUAUACCCGUUUUACCAUCUACGGUCAAAGAUGAAAAUAUUUGAGUUUGAAAAAUCAAAAAGUUGUUAUAUUUUGAAACGGUGGUAGUAGCUGGACCUCGUCAAGCGCAAAGCCUUGAUCAGAAAUGUACAACAGGAUGUGGGGAGGUAAGCCUACACUUGCAGUAGUGAAUAUGCAGUGCAAUGACUUUUUCUUGCUAUUUUUUUCUUUCCGUGUGGGCUUUAGCCUCGAAAGGCUUGGCUAUAUAUAUUUUUCAUGUUUGAGUUCAUUAUUUCUUUUCUGUUUUUCUUCCUCCACUUUUAAAUUUAUGUUAUUAGUAUAUUGUUCCUUUUCUAUUUUCCUUCCUCCAAUUUUUUAAUUUUUAUUAUUCUAUGCCCCACGUGCAUAUUCUUA